rnacentral:lncRNA from 1 species
UAAAGUAAAUGUGAAUUAAAUUUUGAUGUUUUUAAUUUAAAACAUAUAUUUAAAUUUGAUUUAUCAAAAAUCAGAAAGUAUAUAAAAAUGUUCGAUGUAUACAAAAAAAAAAACACCGUAGGAUAUUGUAAAUAUUUUCUAAUAAAAUAUAACAUAUUAAUUUACAAAUAUAAUUUUUAUUGUAAAAGUUUAGAUAUAUAUAAUGUACAAAUUUAUAUUGAUUUGAAAUAAAUUAUAGUAAUUAUUACGUGCAUUUGUACGUACAUUAAACUAGUACAUAUACAAAAGAAAAGUUUUUAGCCACACCAUGAAAAAUAUUGCCUACACCAUGACUAUUAAAACAUCACACAAACCAAAUUAAUAUUUUUAAAGGGCAAUUGCUUAUAUACCCCUGAAAAGUUCUCAAAUUUUUCUUAGAAGGCCAGUAUUGAAAAUAUCCUUCUUACGUUCCAACUAUUUCAAAUAUAUCCCUAGAGUUAAAUUCCGUUAUUGAACGGUUAGCAAUAAUUGUUAUUUAUAUGAAAUUACUACUUUUUCCUUUCAAAUAUAUCCUUUCACCGUCACUGACUUUUUCUUAUUUGCCACCAAGUUAGGGGUACAAAAAGUAUUUUGAUUUUUAGCCUUUUUAAAUAUUACAUACCAUUCUAUCAUCACCAACCUUUCUUAUUUGCCCUAAAGUUAAUGACAAAAGAGGUAUUUCGAUUUUCUUAACUCUAGUAGAUAUUUAACUCACGUUUAAUCCAAGUUAAUCCAAGUUAAUUUAGCGGGUGGUAACUAUACGAGUAUUUUAGAAUAACAGAGAAACAUAUGAGGGUGGAGUACAUUGAAAAGAAAAAAAAAUAGAAAUAAAUAAGAUAUUUUUGAAGUUUUGAGGGGCAUAUAGAAAAUUAUUCCUAUUUUUAAAGGAGAG